rnacentral:rRNA from 1 species
GACGAACGCUGGCGGCGUGCUUAACACAUGCAAGUCGAACGAAGAGCGAUGGAAGCUUGCUUCUAUCAAUCUUAGUGGCGAACGGGUGAGUAACGCGUAAUCAACCUGCCCUUCAGAGGGGGACAACAGUUGGAAACGACUGCUAAUACCGCAUACGAUCUAAUCUCGGCAUCGAGGAUAGAUGAAAGGUGGCCUCUACAUGUAAGCUAUCACUGAAGGAGGGGAUUGCGUCUGAUUAGCUAGUUGGAGGGGUAACGGCCCACCAAGGCGAUGAUCAGUAGCCGGUCUGAGAGGAUGAACGGCCACAUUGGGACUGAGACACGGCCCAGACUCCUACGGGAGGCAGUAGUGGGGAAUCUUCCGCAAUGGACGAAAGUCUGACGGAGCAACGCCGCGUGAGUGAUGACGGCCUUCGGGUUGUAAAGCUCUGUUAAUCGGGACGAAAGGCCUUCUUGCGAAUAGUGAGAAGGAUUGACGGUACCGGAAUAGAAAGCCACGGCUAACUACGUG